CACAAGCGGUGGAUGAUGUGGUUUAAUUCGAUGCAACGCGAAAACCUUACCCACCUUGACAUGGCAGGAAUCCCGAAGAGAUUGGGAGUGCUCGAAAGAGAACCUGCACACAGGUGCUGCAUGGCUGUCGUCAGCUCGUGUCGUGAGAUGUUGGGUUAAGUCCCGCAACGAGCGCAACCCUUGCCAUUAGUUGCUACGAAAGGGCACUCUAAUGGGACUGCCGGUGACAAACCGGAGGAAGGUGGGGAUGACGUCAGGUCCUCAUGGCCCUUAUAGGUGGGGCUACACACGUCAUACAAUGGCCGGUACAGAGGGUAGCCAACCCGCGAGGGGGAGCCAAUCCCACAAAGCCGGUCGUAGUCCGGAUCGCAGUCUGCAACUCGACUGCGUGAAGUCGGAAUCGCUAGUAAUCGCGGAUCAGCAUGUCGCGGUGAAUACGUUCCCGGGUCUU
rnacentral:rRNA from 1 species